rnacentral:rRNA from 1 species
AACGAACGCUGGCGGCAUGCCUAACACAUGCAAGUCGAACGAGACCUUCGGGUCUAGUGGCGCACGGGUGCGUAACGCGUGGGAACCUGCCCUUAGGUUCGGAAUAACUCCCCGAAAGGGGUGCUAAUACCGGAUAAUGUCUUCGGCCCAAAGAUUUAUCGCCUUUGGAUGGGCCCGCGUUGGAUUAGCUAGUUGGUAGGGUAAAAGCCUACCAAGGCGACGAUCCAUAGCUGGUCUGAGAGGAUGAUCAGCCACACUGGGACUGAGACACGGCCCAGACUCCUACGGGAGGCAGCAGUGGGGAAUAAUGGACAAUGGGCGAAAGCCUGAUCCAGCAAUGCCGCGUGAGUGAUGAAGGCCUUAGGGUUGUAAAGCUCUUUUACCCGGGAUGAUAAUGACAGUACCGGGAGAAUAAGCUCCGGCUAACUCCGUG